UCCUUGGGGUGGAGGUACUGCACCUCGCCGCUGGGGAAGACGCGGUAGAACUGGUAGGCGAUCUUGUACUUGGAGCGGAGCCGGUUGCCGAGCGCCAGGCACUGCUCCUUGCGCGCCAGCUUGAGGAGGUUGGGCCCCUCACGCAUGAUGGCGGCGCCGCCCGUCGGCAUCUCGAACACCUGCUCCUUGGGCGACGUCCACGUGAUGACGUAGAAUUCCUCGACCUGGGCUUUGCGGAGGAGCCCGCCCGUGCUGCCGCCGAAGAUUGGGGAUGGGGUUGAGGGGUCGAGCUGGGGCGGGACGAAGCCGGCGGGGGCUGGGGUGGCGACGGGAGCCGCCGGGGUUUCUGGGGCGGCGGCGUGGAGGGCGGUUGGGGCGCGGGAGGUGGGGGAAGGGAAGGCGAGGGAGCGGGGUUUGGGGGAGGAGGAAGGGGACCGGGUGGCGGCGAGGAGGUGGCGGGUGGCGGCGGAGGCUUGCGUGGCCAUGGCCAUGGCGGGAGCUAGCUUAGCGAGAGCAAGGAGCGCGCGUGUGGGGGAUGGAUAUGGAUCGGAGUUGAUGGAGGGAAGAAGAAGAAGGGGUGGCUGAGCUUUGGCUAAAGAGGGGAUUGGGGGUGGAGAAGCGGAUAAGGGGAUAUGAGGCCGGCCAAUGGGGAGCCCGGGUUUUGAUACGGCCGGAGCGGGAGGCUUGGCGUGGCGACCACAGAAAACACAAUACAAAUCGCAGCGUGUCAACGUGCACUGGGGUCGCCGGUCGCGGUUUUCCGUGG
rnacentral:lncRNA from 1 species